UUCAGUCUUCACAAAACGAAUGGCGACUUUCUAGCUUCGGCCUUCAAGAUCUUCGACUGGACUUCUGACUUCAGCUUCCUUCCCGUAGGACCUGUACUCCGACUGCGACUUCUCGAAGUCUCCAUCUCUUACCGGCAACCGACGACCUGAAUUUGACGUUUCCCGUCACCGCCGCCGACUCCCUUCCGCAUUUGACGAUAAUUGAUGAUUUACAUUCCGAUGAAGACGACGAGGGAAUUGAGGGAGGAUAUUCAAAUGUCAAUGCAUGAAGAGUUGAAGGAAAUUAAUGGAUAUUGAAGAUGUAGUGAAUUGGUCAAGUUUUGGACACGUUGGUAUUUUAUAUUUGUAAUUUUGGAUUUGUGGUAUUUUGCAUUUGUAAUAUUGGAUUUGUCAUUGUAAGAUUGUUGGAAUAGUUGUUUUGUAAUGAUGGAUAUGUAAUG